rnacentral:lncRNA from 1 species
AGAAAUCAUUCCAGAAGUUUCUUGGAGAAACAUGAGACUGAUCACCAAGCCUUUUGCUCCUACACACUAUUUGUAAGAACGAUUUAUUAGUAUAGGUAAACUGAGUACACACCAUAUUUGGGAAGAAAAUAUUUAGGAUCAAUUAAAAUGAGAAAAAGAUCGAAAAAUACAUGAAUAUAAUAAGUUGUCACAUAUGAAAUCAUAAUUUCACAGUAAACUAUUUGUAGAGAUGCAAGAAUCUUAUAUUUUUGCCAUCUUCGGGUAAGUUGUUAGAUAUGACGUGAUAUGUUUCUCCAUGAAUUUUAAAAACAUAUGGACCACGAUAUUUCUUAUUCAAAUCGUGAAUCAUUUCCUUCUUACUCGUUUGGCCA